rnacentral:rRNA from 1 species
CGUCUCAGUUCGGAUUGUAGUCUGCAACUCGACUACAUGAAGCUGGAAUCGCUAGUAAUCGCGAAUCAGAAUGUCGCGGUGAAUACGUUCCCGGGUCUUGUACACACCGCCCGUCACACCAUGGGAGUCAGUAACGCCCGAAGCCGGUGACCCAACCAAACGGAGGGAGCCGUCGAAGGUGGGACCGAUGACUGGGGUGAAGUCGUAACAAGGUAGC